AAAUAAAUGUGACACGGAUAAAAAAAUAUUUUAAACUACAUCGCUAAACAGGGGCUACUAUGACAGAUAAACAACAAAUCAAACAUAUAUUACGUUUCCUACAGUGCACCAAGAUAGCGCAAUGCAUUAAAGCGAUAUAUGUACCGAGGAUUUCCGUGAUUCCAACGUGUGAACUAAUUCAAGGCAAACUGCAAAGCUAUUCUCAUCCCACGAAACACAAUGACAAGAGGCACUAAUUAUUAAGUGACGUAAUAUAUCGUCCUAUAUCCUCAAUUUUCGUAGCUGACGUUAAUUCAAGCAUCGUAGUUAACUUUAAAUGAGUGUGUCAUCCUGAUGUAAUACAUAAACGCUUUUGUAACGCACUGAAUAAAUUUACAACGCAUGAUAGAUACGCAAAGGAGAUGGAACGUAAAGAAUAAUAAUGU